rnacentral:rRNA from 1 species
UACGUAGGAUGCAAGCGUUGUCCGGAAUUACUGGGCGUAAAGGGCGCGCAGGCGGUGUGCCAAGUCAGAUGUGAAAUACUCCGGCUUAACCGGAGGGGGUCGUUUGAAACUGGCAGACUAGAGUACAACAGAGGAUAGUGGAAUUCCCGGUGUAGAGGUGAAAUUCGUAGAUAUUCGCAAGAACACCAGUGGCGAAGGCGGCCGACUGGUCCGGUUCUGACGCUGAGGCGCGAAAGCGUGGGGAGCAAACAGG